UAGAGGUUUUCUGUAAAUAUGUUUUAAAGUUUGUGACCCUAUAGGCUCCCAUGUAAAUAUGUUAGCAAGUUUGUUAGACUAUAGGUACCCAUGUAAAUACGUUAGGAAGUUUGUUAGACUAUAGGUACCCAUGUAAAUACGUUAGGAAGUUUGUUAGACUAUAGGUACCCAUGUAAAUAUGUUCUGUAGAUUGUUACUCUAUAGGCUGCCAUGUAAACAUGUUCUGUAGACUGUUGUUUUUAUAAGGAUUGUCCAAAUAAAACAUCUUCUGUAAAUCCUA